CGGGGUGGAGUAAUGUCUGGGAAACUAGCCUGAUGGAGGGGGAUAACUACUGGAAACGGUAGCUAAUACCGCAUAACGUCGCAAGACCAAAGAGGGGGACCUUCGGGCCUCUUGCCAUCGGAUGUGCCCAGAUGGGAUUAGCUAGUAGGUGGGGUAACGGCUCACCUAGGCGACGAUCCCUAGCUGGUCUGAGAGGAUGAUCAGCCACACUGGGACUGAGACACGGCCCAG
rnacentral:rRNA from 1 species